CCCGUCGUCGCCUCCAGCGACCAGGCAUCUGGAUCCACCGCCGCCUACCCUAGGUCACGCCGCCCAAGCAGAGCAACGCGACUCCCCUUCUCUUCUUUUUAUCCUGUGCCCUCCUUCUGCUCUAAGUGCCGCCGCCAUUUUUCUUGCAGAAGGCAAGCCCGAGCCUCCCAUCGCCAAAAGCCACCGUGGCCAGCCCCUGAAGCCAGACUAGACCAUGCCGCAGCUCCUCUGCCUCCUUCCUCUCUCUCUCUUUCUCCUUCUCUGUCGCUUCUCUCUCCCUCCGUCCCGCGGCUCACCUUGCCUGUCUCUCUCUAUUUUGGUUUCACAGGAACACCGACGCCACUGAACGAGCACCAUCGGGACGCCGCCAUGGCCUCCCUUGCUCACCCCG
rnacentral:lncRNA from 1 species